UGCAUCGGCGGGGAAUCGAACCCGGGCCGCCCGCGUGGCAGACGAGCAUUCUACCACUGAACCACCGAUAC
rnacentral:tRNA from 1 species